UCGAGAAUUUUUCUCAAUGGGGGAAACCCUGAAGGAGCGACGCCGCGUGGGGGAUGAAUGGCUUCGGCCCGUAAACCCCUGUCAUUUGUGACCAAGAUUACCGAUUGAACAUUUCGGUGAUUUGAUGGUAGCGGAAGAGGAAGGGACGGCUAACUCUGUGCCAGCAGCCGCGGUAAUACAGAGGUCCCAAGCGUUGUUCGGAUUCACUGGGCGUAAAGGGUGCGUAGGUGGCUGGGUAAGUCUGAUGUGAAAUCUCUGAGCCUAACUCAGAAACUGCAUUGGAUACUAUCCAGCUGGAGGGUUGGAGGGGGGACUGGAAUGCUCGGUGUAGCAGUGAAAUGCGUAGAUAUCGAGCGGAACACCAGUGGCGAAGGCGAGUCCCUAGACAACUCCUGACACUGAGGCACGAAAGCCAGGGGAGCAAACGGGAUUAGAUACCCCUGUAGUCC
rnacentral:rRNA from 1 species